rnacentral:tRNA from 1 species
UAUAUUUAAGUGUAAGAUGCACAAAGGUUUUUGAUACCUUAAGGUAUGGUUUAAUUCCAUAAAAUAUAA